GAUGAACGCUGGCGGCGUGCUUAACACAUGCAAGUCGAACGAUGAAGCCCAGCUUGCUGGGUGGAUUAGUGGCGAACGGGUGAGUAACACGUGAGUAACCUGCCCUUAACUCUGGGAUAAGCCUGGGAAACUGGGUCUAAUACCGGAUAGGAGCGUCCACCGCAUGGUGGGUGUUGGAAAGAUUUAUCGGUUUUGGAUGGACUCGCGGCCUAUCAGCUUGUUGGUGAGGUAAUGGCUCACCAAGGCGACGACGGGUAGCCGGCCUGAGAGGGUGACCGGCCACACUGGGACUAAGACACGGCCCAGACUCCUACGGGAGGCAGCAGUGGGGAAUAUUGCACAAUGGGCGCAAGCCUGAUGCAGCGACGCCGCGUGAGGGAUGACGGCCUUCGGGUUGUAAACCUCUUUCAGUAGGGAAGAAGCGAAAGUAACGGUACCUGCAGAAGAAGCACCGGCUAACUACGUG
rnacentral:rRNA from 1 species